rnacentral:rRNA from 1 species
UACGUAGGUGGCAAGCGUUGUUCGGAAUUAUUGGGCGUAAAGGGCGCGUAGGCGGCUUGUUAAGUCGGCUGUGAAAGCCCGGGGCUCAACCCCGGAGGGUCAGCCGAUACUGGCAGGCUAGAGUACGGAAGAGGUAGCUGGAAUUCCCGGUGUAGCGGUGAAAUGCGUAGAUAUCAGGAGGAACACCGGUGGCGAAGGCGGGGUCUCUGGACAGUUCCUGACGCUGAGGCACGAAGGUCAGGGGAGCAAACGGG